rnacentral:rRNA from 1 species
UACGGAAGGCAGCAGUGGGGAAUAUUGCACAAUGGGCGCAAGCCUGAUGCAGCCAUGCCGCGUGUAUGAAGAAGGCCUUCGGGUUGUAAAGUACUUUCAGUCGUGAGGAAGGUGUUAAGGUUAAUAACCUUAGCAAUUGACGUUAGCGACAGAAGAAGCACCGGCUAACUCCGUGCCAGCAGCCGCGGUAAUACGGAGGGUGCGAGCGUUAAUCGGAAUUACUGGGCGUAAAGGGCACGCAGGCGGUUAAUUAAGUUGGAUGUGAAAUCCCCGGGCUUAACCUGGGAAUGGCAUUCAAGCUGGUUAGCUAGAGUCUUGUAGAGGGGGUAGAAUUCCAUGUGCAGCGGUGAAAUGCGUAGAGAUGUGGAGGAAUACCGGUGGCGAAGGCGGCCCCUGGGACAAAGGCUGACGCUCAUGUGCGAAAGCGUGGGGAGCAAACGAGGAUUAGAUAC